CAAUAGCCUAACGGCUGAACCAGCAACUUGGAGGAAUGUAUAGCGAUAGCUAAUUGCAUCGAAAAUAUGAUGCAAGAUCGAUUUAUUGAAUAAAAUUCUGGGUAGAAUUAUGAUUAUGACAUUGUCUACCCAUGUGUCUUGACCAAAUUACGUGCCAGCAGUCGCGGUAAUACGUAGAAGACUAGUGUUAUUCAUCUUUAAUAGGUUUAAAGGGUACCUAGACGGUAAAUCAAGCCCUAGACGGGACUAAUUUGCUAGAGUUACUUAUGAGGGGGUUUUAAAGUACUAAUGGUGUAGAGAUGAAAUUUUGUAAUACCAUUUUUCGAAAGGAAAGUAAUGGCACAGGUAUAGGCGAAAGCAUCCCCUUAUGUGAUAACUGACGUUGAAGGACGAAGGCUUUGAGUCGCGAACAGGAUUAGAUACCCUGGUAGUCAAAGCAGAAAAUAAUGAGUGUCAUAGAUUAGAUAUUAAAGUUUAUUCUAUAAAUGAAAGUGUAAGCACUCCACCUCAAGAGUAAUUUGGCAACAUUGGAACUGAAAUCAUUAGACCGUUUCUGAAACCAGUAGUGAAGUAUGUUGUUUAAUUUGAUAAUCCGCAAAAAACCUUACCACAAUUUGAAUAUUUAUAUCGUUGAUAUAAUUACAAGCGUUGCACGGCUGUCUUCAGUUAAUGUCGUGAGAUUUUGGUUAGAUCCAUUAAAUUAACGCAAGCCCUUACUUUAUUUUAAAAUAAAGUCGUUCCCCACUAGAUUGGAUAAGAUAACAGGGAUUAAGACAAGUCAUCAUGGCCUGAAUAUUGUGGGCUAU
rnacentral:rRNA from 1 species